CAGCUCGUGUUGUGAAAUGUUGGGUUAAGUCCCGCAACGAGCGCAACCCUUAUCCUUUGUUGCCAGCGAUUAGGUCGGGAACUCAAAGGAGACUGCCAGUGAUAAACUGGAGGAAGGUGGGGAUGACGUCAAGUCAUCAUGGCCCUUACGACCAGGGCUACACACGUGCUACAAUGGCGCAUACAAAGAGAAGCGACCUCGCGAGAGCAAGCGGACCUCAUAAAGUGCGUCGUAGUCCGGAUUGGAGUCUGCAACUCGACUCCAUGAAGUCGGAAUCGCUAGUAAUCGUGGAUCAGAAUGCCACGGUGAAUACGUUCCCGGGCCUUGUACACACCGCCCGUCACACCAUGGGAGUGGGUUGCAAAAGAAGUAGGUAGCUUAACCUUCGGGAGGGCGCUUACCACUUUGUGAUUCAUGACUGGGGUGAAGUCGUAACAAGGUAACCGUAGGGGAACCUGCGGUUGGA
rnacentral:rRNA from 4 species